rnacentral:rRNA from 1 species
GAUGAACGCUAGCGGCAGGCUUAACACAUGCAAGUCGCGGGGCAGCGGGGGAUGUAGCAAUACAUUCUGCCGGCGACCGGCGCAAGGGUGCGUAACGCGUGAGCAACAUGCCCGUCUCAGGGGGAUAACCGGUGGAAACGCCGCCUAAUACCCCAUGGUGACAUCCGGAGGCAUCUCCGGCUGUCUAAAGCUCCGGCGGAGACGGAUUGGCUCGCGUGACAUUAGCUGGACGGCGGGGUAACGGCCCACCGUGGCAACGAUGUCUAGGGGUUCUGAGAGGAAGGUCCCCCACACUGGAACUGAGACACGGUCCAG